rnacentral:tRNA from 1 species
GACCCCAUCGUCUAGAGGCCUAGGACGUCACCCUUUCAAGGUGAAAACACGGGUUCGAGUCCCGUUGGGGUCGCCA